rnacentral:tRNA from 1 species
ACAGGUUUAAGUUAAGUUUAAACUAUUGGUUUUCAAAACCAAAAAUUUAUAUCUGUU